UAGGGAAUCUUCGGCAAUGGGGGGAACCCUGACCGAGCAACGCCGCGUGAGUGAAGAAGGUUUUCGGAUCGUAAAGCUCUGUUGUUAAGGAAGAACGAGUGUGAGAAUGGAAAGUUCAUGCUGUGACGGUACUUAACCAGAAAGGGACGGCUAACUACGUGCCAGCAGCCGCGGUAAUACGUAGGUCCCGAGCGUUGUCCGGAUUUAUUGGGCGUAAAGGGUACGUAGGCGGGUAAGCAAGUUAGAAGUGAAAUCCUGUAGCUCAACUACAGUAAGCUUUUAAAACUGCUCAUCUUGAGAUAUGGAAGGGAAAGUGGAAUUCCUAGUGUAGCGGUGAAAUGCGCAGAUAUUAGGAGGAAUACCGGUGGCGAAGGCGACUUUCUGGCCAUAAUCUGACGCUGAGGUACGAAAGCGUGGGUAGCAAACAGG
rnacentral:rRNA from 1 species